AACGCGAAGAACCUUACCUGGCCUUGACAUGUCUGGAAUUCUGCAGAGAUGCGGAAGUGCCUUCGGGAACCAGAACACAGGUGCUGCAUGGCUGUCGUCAGCUCGUGUCGUGAGAUGUUGGGUUAAGUCCCGCAACGAGCGCAACCCUUGUCCUAUGUUGCCAGCGGGUAAUGCCGGGGACUCGUAGGAGACUGCCGGGGUCAACUCGGAGGAAGGUGGGGACGACGUCAAGUCAUCAUGCCCCUUACGUCCAGGGCUGCACACAUGCUACAAUGGCCGGUACAAAGGGCUGCUAUCCCGCGAGGGUGAGCGAAUCCCAAAAAGCCGGUCUCAGUUCGGAUUGCAGUCUGCAACUCGACUGCAUGAAGUCGGAGUCGCUAGUAAUCCCGGAUCAGCAACGCCGGGGUGAAUACGUUCCCGGGCCUUGUACACACCGACAUA
rnacentral:rRNA from 1 species